AACGCGUGAAGGCGAGCACUCUAGACGAACUGCCGUUGACAAAACGGAGGAAGGUGGGAUGACGUCAAAUCAUCAUGCCCCUUAUGUUCUGGGCUACACACGUGCUACAAUGGCCGGUACAGACGGACGCAAAGCCGCGAGGUGGAGCAAAUCCUAAAAAGCCGGUCUCAGUUCGGAUUGCAGGCUGCAAUUCGCCUGCAUGAAGUCGGAAUCGCUAGUAAUCGCAGGUCAGCAUACUCGCGGUUCCGAAUACGUUCCGGCCUU
rnacentral:rRNA from 1 species